rnacentral:rRNA from 1 species
AGAGUUUGAUCAUGGCUCAGGACGAACGCUGGCGGCGUGCCUAAUACAUGCAAGUCGAGCGAACGGACGAGAAGCUUGCUUCUCUGAUGUUAGCGGCGGACGGGUGAGUAACACGUGGAUAACCUACCUAUAAGACUGGGAUAACUUCGGGAAACCGGAGCUAAUACCGGAUAAUAUUUUGAACCGCAUGGUUCAAAAGUGAAAGACGGUCUUGCUGUCACUUAUAGAUGGAUCCGCGCUGCAUUAGCUAGUUGGUAAGGUAACGGCUUACCAAGGCAACGAUGCAUAGCCGACCUGAGAGGGUGAUCGGCCACACUGGAACUGAGACACGGUCCAGACUCCUACGGGAGGCAGCAGUAGGGAAUCUUCCGCAAUGGGCGAAAGCCUGACGGAGCAACGCCGCGUGAGUGAUGAAGGUCUUCGGAUCGUAAAACUCUGUUAUUAGGGAAGAACAUAUGUGUAAGUAACUGUGCACAUCUUGACGGUACCUAAUCAGAAAGCCACGGCUAACUACGUGCCAGCAGCCGCGGUAAUACGUAGGUGGCAAGCGUUAUCCGGAAUUAUUGGGCGUAAAGCGCGCGUAGGCGGUUUUUUAAGUCUGAUGUGAAAGCCCACGGCUCAACCGUGGAGGGUCAUUGGAAACUGGAAAACUUGAGUGCAGAAGAGGAAAGUGGAAUUCCAUGUGUAGCGGUGAAAUGCGCAGAGAUAUGGAGGAACACCAGUGGCGAAGGCGACUUUCUGGUCUGUAACUGACGCUGAUGUGCGAAAGCGUGGGGAUCAAACAGGAUUAGAUACCCUGGUAGUCC